UACGUAGGGUGCAAGCGUUGUCCGGAAUUAUUGGGCGUAAAGCGCGUGUAGGCGGCCUGGCAAGUCGGGUGUGAAAGCCCUCAGCUCAACUGAGGAAGUGCGCCCGAAACUGCUUUGCUUGAGUGCUGGAGAGGGUCGCGGAAUUCCCCAAGUAGAGGUGAAAUUCGUAGAUAUGGGGAGGAACACCGGUGGCGAAGGCGGCGACCUGGACAGUAACUGACGCUGAGGGGCGAAAGCGUGGGGAGCGAACGGG
rnacentral:rRNA from 1 species